rnacentral:rRNA from 1 species
AUUGAACGCUGGCGGGCAUGCUUUACACAUGCAAGUCGGACGGCAGCGGGGUAGUGCUUGCACUACUGCCGGCGAGUGGCGAACGGGUGAGUAACAUAUCGGAACGUACCGAGCAGUGGGGGAUAACUAAUCGAAAGAUUAGCUAAUACCGCAUAUCUUCUGAGGAAGAAAGCAGGGGACCUUUGGGCCUUGCGCUGUUUGAGCGGCCGAUAUCUGAUUAGCUGGUUGGUGGGGUAAAGGCCUACCAAGGCGACGAUCAGUAGCGGGUCUGAGAGGAUGAUCCGCCACACUGGGACUGAGACACGGCCCAGACUCCUACGGGAGGCAGCAGUGGGGAAUUUUGGACAAUGGGGGCAACCCUGAUCCAGCCAUGCCGCGUGUCUGAAGAAGGCCUUCGGGUUGUAAAGGACUUUUGUCCGGGAAGAAAAGCGCGAUGUUAAUACCAUUGCGU